CUACGGGCGGCUCCAGCAAGGAAUAUUGUCCAAUGGGGGAAACCCUGAGACAGCAACGCCGCGUGAAGGAAGAAGGCCUUCGGGUUGUAAACUUCUGUUUUAGAGGAAGAAAAAAAUGACGGUACUCUUAGAGGAAGCCCCGGCAAACUACGUGCCAGCAGCCGCGGUAACACGUAGGGGGCGAGCGUUGUCCGGAAUCACUGGGCGUAAAGGGCGCGUAGGCGGUUUAUUAAGUUGCAUGUGAAAUCCCAGAGCUCAACUCUGGACCUGCAUGCAAAACUGGUAGACUUGAGUAUGGCAGAGGUAAGUGGAAUUCCUAGUGUAGCGGUGGAAUGCGUAGAUAUUAGGAGGAACACCAGUGGCGAAGGCGACUUACUGGGCCAAAACUGACGCUGAGGCGCGAAAGCGUGGGGAGCAAACAGGAUUAGAUACCCCCGUAGUC
rnacentral:rRNA from 1 species